UACGGAAGGCAGCAGUGGGGAAUAUUGCACAAUGGGCGAAAGCCUGAUGCAGCUAUGCCGCGUGUAUGAAGAAGGCCUUAGGGUUGUAAAGUACUUUCAUCGGGGAGGAAAAACAAAACUAAUAAUUUUAUUUCUUGACGUUACCCGAAAAAGAAGCACCGGCUAACUCCGUGCCAGCAGCCGCGGUAAUACGGAGGGUGCUAGCGUUAAUCAGAAUUACUGGGCGUAAAGAGCACGUAGGUGGUUUUUUUAAGUCAGAUGUGAAAUCCCUGGGCUUAACCUAGGAACUGCAUUUUGAAACUGAAAUACUAGAGUAUCGUAGAGGGAGGUAGAAUUCUAGGUGUAGCGGUGAAAUGCGUAGAUAUCUGGAGGAAUACCUGUGGCGAAAGCGGCCUCCUAAACGAAUACUGACACUGAGGUGCGAAAGCGUGGGGAGCAAACAGGGAUUAGAUACCCUU
rnacentral:rRNA from 1 species